AACGGACGCUGGCGGCAGGCCUAACACAUGCAAGUCGAGCGAGGACUUCGGUUCUAGCGGCGGACGGGUGAGUAACGCGUGGGAAUGUGCCCUUCUCUACGGAAUAGCCCUGGGAAACUGGGAGUAAUACCGUAUACGCCCUAUUGGGGAAAGAUUUAUCGGAGAAGGAUCAGCCCGCGUUGGAUUAGGUAGUUGGUGGGGUAAUGGCCUACCAAGCCGACGAUCCAUAGCUGGUUUGAGAGGAUGAUCAGCCACACUGGGACUGAGACACGGCCCAGACUCCUACGGGAGGCAGCAGUGGGGAAUCUUAGACAAUGGGGGCAACCCUGAUCUAGCCAUGCCGCGUGAGUGAUGAAGGCCUUAGGGUUGUAAAGCUCUUUCAGCUGGGAAGAUAAUGACGGUACCAGCAGAAGAAGCCCCGGCUAACUCCGUG
rnacentral:rRNA from 1 species